AGAUUGAACGCUGGCGGCAGGCCUAACACAUGCAAGUCGAGCGGCAGCACGGGUACUUGUACCUGGUGGCGAGCGGCGGACGGGUGAGUAAUGCCUAGGAAUCUGCCUGGUAGUGGGGGAUAACGCUCGGAAACGGACGCUAAUACCGCAUACGUCCUACGGGAGAAAGCAGGGGACCUUCGGGCCUUGCGCUAUCAGAUGAGCCUAGGUCGGAUUAGCUAGUUGGUGAGGUAAUGGCUCACCAAGGCGACGAUCCGUAACUGGUCUGAGAGGAUGAUCAGUCACACUGGAACUGAGACACGGUCCAGACUCCUACGGGAGCAGCAGUAGGAAUA
rnacentral:rRNA from 1 species